UACGAGGGGGGCGAGCGUUGUUCGGAAUUAUUGGGCGUAAAGGGUGCGUAGGCGGUUUGGUAAGCCUGAUGUGAAAUCUAUGGGCUCAACUCAUAGUCUGCAUCGGAAACUGCCGGGCUUGAGUAUGGGAGAGGUGAGUGGAAUUCCUGGUGUAGCGGUGAAAUGCGUAGAUAUCAGGAGGAACACCUGUGGCGAAAGCGGCUCACUGGACCAUAACUGACGCUGAUGCACGAAAGCUAGGGGAGCAAACAGG
rnacentral:rRNA from 1 species